AAGGUUCUAGUAAAUUAAUUACAUAGCUCUGUCAGUGCUAAAUUACAGAUUAAAACCUGUGAACCUUA